AGCAGCUUCUCAAACACGCUUUUCCUCCAUUCUCCUUCAUUUAAUUGUGAAACCCUCUUCAUUAUCUCCCUCCAAUCAAUCCAACCUACCAAAAUUAUUGAGAUCCUUUGUUUCUUCAUUUGAAUUUCAUCUAAAAAAACCCUAAUUGAUAUCUGCUCUGCCGUCUUCUACAUUGUCGACUUCUCAGUUUCAUCUCUGUCUCUUGAUUGUAUGUUCCGAUGAAAGCCCUGUAAGUCGUCUUUUGAAAGAAGCCAUCAUAAUCUUCCAUCAAGUUUUAUUCACAGGUCAAAACGGGUUAUAAACCGACUGACAUUCAUCCGCCUCACUUACACAAAACCUAACAGUUUGGCGAUUUAAAUUUCUGAUUUUGGCCGAUUAGAUUAUUCAAAACUUUGAAUCUAUGAUGACGGUGUUGUUGGAUGAUAUGGUUUUAGCUGAAGUGGCAUGGUUACAAAUCCUCAAGGAGCCUAAACUGUACGUUGAUCCGAAUCUUGAUUCGGUGCUCAUAGUGCCUGGGAUUGCUAAAUAACAUCUUAAUGCUAAAGAUGGUGAAACGGGGAAAGAAGAGAGAGUUUGGGUUCGGAUUUGGGAAGUUGAUCGUGAAUUUAGAGAUAAACUUUUGUGUAAAUUUGAUCCUGAAUCGGUUUGUUGGCACUCUGGAUCAAGAACAAUGGAAAAUAAGAAUUUUUUAAGAAACAAUAUGAAGUUGAUGUGAGAGUUGACGGGAAACCAACGAGCGUUUCACAAGAUGGCUAAUUAUAGGAUGACGGUGCCAAUACAUAUAUACAAGAUGCACGUUACAUCCGUGCCGAACAAGUGAUUGAAUGAAGCUACUUCUUGCCGGUUUUUGGAGAGGGAAGUGAUCACUCUGUUGGAUUUUGGGUUUGUACCGGUUAGGGUCGUUUAUUGUCUGUUUGGGACCUGUUUCAACCCUUAGACGUGAAGCCUAAGUUUGGAAAGGCCUAGAACAAAAGUGAUGAUCUACAUGGACUUCCUUCUCUUGACCUUUAUAUGACUAUCUCAAUGAUGAAGAUUGUGGGUCAAAAACAACCACCUUCUUGCUUAACGAUGUAGCCGUCUUCGCCAUGACGUCGAUUUUAACCAAUACAGAUUAUACAAGAAUCACAAAGUAUUCAAGAGCCACAGACAUGGGAAAUUAGUUGUGGAAGAUGUUCUCUUGCCAGCAGCUCCAUUCAGACUUGACCAUGGUUCCCCCUCUGUCCAGGCCACUCAUAAAAAAUGGGUGCAUCAUGUGUUGCUGGCACGAACCCGGACUGUUUAGAGUUUUUUAAUGAAUUGCGGUCGUUGCAUAUUCACGUAUUUCAAUUUGUUGUCGUAAUCUAAUCUAUCCGGUUGUCUUUUACUGUGUAUAAAAUCAUAAUAUUCAACCCCGAAAUUCGUGGGUU